rnacentral:rRNA from 1 species
GACGAACGCUGGCGGCGUGCUUAACACAUGCAAGUCGAACGAUGAAGCUAGAGCUUGCUCUGGUGAAUUAGUGGCGAACGGGUGAGUAACACGUGAGUAACCUGCCCCGAACUCUGGGAUAACUGCUGGAAACGGCAGCUACUACUGGAUACGACCUACGAAGGCAUCUUCUGUAGGUGGAAAGAAUUUCGGUUCGGGAUGGACUCGCGGCCUCUCAGCUUGUUGGUGAGGUAAUGGCUCACCAAGGCGACGACGGGUAGCCGGCCUGAGAGGGUGACCGGCCACACUGGGACUGAGACACGGCCCAGACUCCUACGGGAGGCAGCAGUGGGGAAUAUUGCACAAUGGGCGCAAGCCUGAUGCAGCAACGCCGCGUGAGGGAUGACGGCCUUCGGGUUGUAAACCUCUUUUAGUAGGGAAGAAGCGAAAGUGGCGGUACCUGCAGAAAAAGCACCGGCUAACUACGUGCCAGCCGCCGCCGUAA